rnacentral:rRNA from 1 species
AAUGAACGUUGGCGGCGUGGAUUAGGCAUGCGAGUCGUGCGAGAACCGUAGCAAUACGGGGACAGCGGCGAAAGGGGAGAGGAACACGUGGAUACCUACCCUCAGGUUCAGGAUAGCUAUGGGAAACUAUAGGUAAUACUGAAUAAUAUCUCCGGAUCAAAGGUGUGAUUCCGCCGGAGGAGGGGUCCGCGUCCUAUUAGCUAGUUGGUGAGGUAAUGGCUCACCAAGGCGAAGAUGGGUACGGGAUGUGAGAACAUGAUCCCGCUCAUUGGGACUGAGACACUGCCCAGACACCUACGGGUGGCUGCAGUCGAGAAUCUUCGGCAAUGGGGGAAACCCUGACCGAGCGACGCCGCGUGUGAGAUGAAGGCCUCGGUGUAAAUCACUGUCGUAGAGGAGGAAGUGUAGGU